GGCUCUCAGUUUUGAAGGCUGUCAGCCCCCUGAUUCCCACUCUGCACUCUAUUUCUGUGUCUUUGUCUUAAUUCCUCUAGCGCUGCUGGGUUAGGGUCUCCACGACUGAGCUGGUCUCAGCAAGCGGUGCUCAACAUGGGGGCUUGAACCCAGGAUGAAGAGUCGCUGGAGCGGUGGUUGGAGAACCUGGAAGUAAGCUGGAGAACACCCGAGUACUCUUAAGCAAUCCCCGUGGCCAAAACCAGCAGCUGAUUUGGAUACCAUGAAGACACCUGAAACCUUAUCAUGAGCCAGAUGCCGAGGAAGAGAUUUUGCGAGGGACCCAAGGACCACCCUGUUGCAGCCAAGUCCAGACUGACAAUAAGGCCUCCUUUCCUGUUUGUAGUGGGUGAUUUAAAACUUGAUCUCUCUAGAUCAAGCUUUUUUUUUUUUUUUUUUGAGCUAUACUUCAGCUCAAAAAGAGGAGCUUUUUGAUGUGAUUUGUCAAGAAUGUAGAUUGUUUUCUUGUGUGAAUUCUUCCCUGUAUAAUCCUGAUCAUUCUAUUUUAGUGGUAAGAGCCCGAGAAGGAGUAUGGAUACCUGUAAGGCUUUCCCGUCCUUGGAAAGCCUCUCCUUCUGUGCAUAUUAUUACUGAAAUUCUUCAAAAGAUUUUGAGGCACUCUUGGCGUUAAAUUGCUGCUUUAAUUUUAGUCAUUAUGGGAUGAUUGCUGUCACAGCUACUGCCACGGCAGCUGGAGUUGCUUUGCAUUCCACAGUACAAACAGCAGACUAUGUAAAUAAUUGGCAGAAAAUUUCUACUCUGCUGUGGAAUUCCCAAACUAAUAUAGACCAGAAACUAGCUAAUCAAAUCAAUGAUCUCCAACAAACUAUAAUGUGGCUAGGAGAUUGAGUAGUUAGUCUAGAAUAUAGAAUGCAGUUACAAUGUGAUUGAGAUACUUCUGAUUUUUGCAUUACUCCUCAUCUGUAUAAAGAAACAGAGCAUGAGUGGGAAAGAGUUAAGAGACAUUUAAAGGGUCAUACUGGAAAUUUAUCUUUGGAUAUUGCAAAACUGAAGGAACAAGCAUUUCAAGCCUCUCAGGCAUAUCUGACGCUAAUGCCAGGAACUGAAGUGCUUGAAGGAGCUGCAGACGGAUUAGCAGCUAUUAACCCGUUAAAAUGGAUCAAGACACUUGGAGGGUCUGUGAUUUCAAUGGUGAUUGUGCCUUUAAUCUGUGUUGUUUGUCUUUGUGCAGUCUGCAGAUGGGGAUCCCCAAUCCUGUGAGAAGGAGCCCACCAUGACAAAGCUGCCUUUGCCUUUAUUGCUUUGCAAAAAAACAAUAAAUAAAUAAAUAAAGAGGGA
ensembl:lncRNA novel transcript